rnacentral:rRNA from 11 species
GAAGAUGUAACGGGGCUCAAACUAGGAGCCGAAGCUGCGGAUUUGAAUUUGUUUUCAAGUGGUAGGGGAGCGUUGUGUAAGCCUGUGAAGGUGUGUUGUAAAGCAUGCUGGAGGUAUCACAAGAGCGAAUGCUGACGUGAGUAACGAUAAUGCGAGUGAAAAGCUCGCACGCCGGAAGAUCAAGGGUUCCAGUCCAACGUUAAUCGGGGCUGGGUGAGUCGACCCCUAAGGCGAGGCCGAAAGGCGUAGUCGAUGGGAAACGGGUCAACAUU